rnacentral:rRNA from 1 species
AUGAUGAAUGCCUCCUGCGUGUUCUCCGGCGAGGUUGAGGGCGAGGCCGUCGACAAGAGCUCCGGCACGGCGGACCAAAUAAAUGCCUCCGGCGAAGGGAAUGGCGUGGCCGCCUACAAGUUCUUCAGCCUGCCGGAGUAUCCCCGCGUGGCGCGCCUUCGUCACUGGCGCCUCAUGGGCUACCUCUGGUGCCAAGGCUUCAGCGACUCCUACAACGAGCUCAUGAACAAGACGCGCGCGUACAUGGACCUGCCGCACCUGUGCGGCCUCAUCGAGGUCGGCCGGUGGGCCGACGCCGUCGAGUACAUGCUCCACGGGUUCGCCGACGCCGCCGCCGGCAAAGGGGAGAAGUUGCUGCCCAAGCACUACCUCCAACUGAAUCACAAAAGAGCCGUCAGCCACGCCGAACUGAGGCUCCGCUCCAUCUGCAUGUCCGUAAUCGACCGUUUCAGGGCCAACAUGAACUGGCAGAGAAUGCUGAUAAAGGCAUCGUCUCUUGUCUACACGCUGGCUCAUCGCGUUCCAGAGCUGCGAGGCUGCUUCUCGCUGCCGACCACCGGCUUCAACCCGCGCCAUGUACUUCCCAUUGCUUCCGGUUUGAGGAGUCAGAGGCAUUAUGUGAAGCAGAAAAAUACAGGAUCAGAAAAACAAAAGGCUGUCAUCAGGGCCUUGAAGAAGACCUUGAAGAGACGUCAUAUGAGUUCAAAAAUUGAGUCGGUUGACGAGGCAAAGGAAUUGCUCGCGGAUCUCCUUGAUGAAACUGUACGAUCUGGCGUACAAAAGAUAUCCUCUGAUCCGAGCCAUCCACUUGAAAAUGAAGGUGCUCAAUUCUUCCAACCCAUGUCUGGUACCUUGACAGAAGCUAAAACCUCUGGGCCAUUGACAAAUGCAGGUCAUGCCAGGGUAUUGUGCUGUGGAGAACUGGAACGCCAAGCCGAGUGGUGGAGAGGCGGCCGCUCUAUGAAGUACCCAUUCUGCUGGAGCGUUUGGCUGACCCGUUUUGCUGAUCGUUUUACCUGCUGCUUGAGGCUUGCAAGUUUCCUGGAACUUGUGACAAUGUUUCAUUAUGAUGCAACUCUGUUACCAACUACUAGUGCUUGCGUUGUGGGACUAGUGUCGAUCGCUAAAGUUCCUGUUGUUGCUAGUCCGCUCUUUAGAUUUUGGUUAGCUGCUUCUCCUGGAUUUCUUCUAGGUUGGGUCAGCUUCGUUGAUUCGGCCGCCGUUCCACCGCCCCGCCAUGGAAGAAGCUUGUACUUGCAUGUGCAUAUCCGAACUCAUACGCAGCAGUCGGAGUUGUUUAAAUUCAGCUCGCCUGUUUGCAGAAGAAUGACUUCAGAUUCCCUCCACUACUCAAGAACAGAAAAAAAAGCUCCACCAUCGAAGUCAACCCGCAAACAGCCGCCGAAGCCACGACGGCACAUGCCAACAGAUGGCCACACGCGCAAGCAACCGUCAGCUCCGACUUUGACGACGAGCUUCGAAAGGGAAAUAUGCAGGACUUGCGCCGAGCGUGCCCUCCAUAAUGAAAGGGCACCUCAGACACGCCGGGAAGAACCGACUACCGAAGUCCAUGCUGCGACCCGAGCUCCUCUCAACGCCAUCAUCGUUGCCAAAACAGAAACCAACGCCCCGCCUCAGCCAGUCACGCAGCGAAGAUGCCGCCAUCCACCGGUCUCCAGUCGUAGCCGGCUCCGAGACGAUGCCCCCAAGGAGGAGAAAGACGCGAAGACGCCCCCAUCACCCGAUCCAGCUGAUCUGAGAUACGCACCACCCCCUGGCCGUAGCCGCCAACCACCACCGCAGCACCGUCGCGGCCACCACCACCGCAGCAACCACCUGCAUCGCAAGGAGCAGCAACCAGAACGGAGCACCGAGGCGCCAGAUCCAGAUCGAACCGCUCGAGCGAAGCAUCUGAGCAGGAGCCGGCACUCCACACGCAGCACACCUCGCGCUACAGGGACGUCAAGCCCGCCACGCCCAGCAGUCGCUGCGCCCGCCGCGCGCCGGCCGCCGCCGCGCCCGCCGCCGGUCCGCGCCCCACGCGCGCAUCCGAAGUCGCCGCGCACACGCACGCCGCCUGCGCACGCCGUCCACGCCCAGGCCGCGCCAGGAGCUCGGACCGAAGCCGCCGCCCCAGCACCCCUCCCUCCGCCCGCAGCCUACGCGGAGCUCCGCACGCCGGCCGCCAUUCGCCGCCCGCCGCCGCGAGCUCCCCCUCGCGAGCGCCCAGGAAACGACGGGGAGAAGAGGCCCCGCCGCCGCCGGAUCCGCGCGGGCUUCGCCCGGCGGAGCCCACCGGCGACAGCGAGGGGAGUGUGUGGAAGGAGGGCGCGCGGUGGACGGGGCUGA